rnacentral:rRNA from 1 species
CAUGGCCGUUCUUAGUUGGUGGAGUGAUUUGUCUGGCUAAUUCCGUUAACGAACGAGACCUUAACUUGCUAAAUAGUUACGCGAAUCUCGAUUCGUGGUAAACUUCUUAGAGGGACUGUUGGUAUCCAACCAAAGUCAGGAAGGCAAUAACAGGUCUGUGAUGUCCUUAGAUGUUCUGGGCCGCACGCGCGCUACACUGAUGCAUUCAACGAGUUUUACCUUGGCCGAGAGGCCUGGGCAAUCUUUUAAACCUGCAUCGUGAUAGGGAUAGAUUAUUGCAAUUUUUAAUCUUGAACGAGGAAUUCCUAGUAAACGCAGAUCAUCAAUCUGCAUUGAUUACGUCCCUGCCCUUUGUACACACCGCCCGU